CACCAGCUCAUCCUGGACUUCAGACUUGACUUCAUCCUGGCUGAGCAGCCUCUGAAGCCAGGGACAUCCCCACAGGCUACCUCUGCUCUGGCCAUGCACCUGUCAUCUCUACACUGUGUGGCUCUGGAGAAAAAUGGGACCAACCUAAAUCCAUCCUAAGGACAAAAGAGAAGAAACUUCGCAACUGGAAGCAUUUGGUUAAAUAAAUAACGGGUUGAUCCAGUCUGUGAGACCUGAGAGAGCCGUGAAGACUGCAGGUGGGAGUACUUAUCGGAUGAGGGAAGAUCGGAUGAGGGAAGAUCGGAUGAGGGAAGAAGUGGGGCUGUUAUGAGAGGGGAGCACUGAGAGUCAAAGCCCGGGCCUCCUGCAGUCCAGCACGAAGCCUACCAUUGAGCCACACCCACAGCUCUGGAUUCAGGAGCCUGACACCCUGAGUUCAAUCCCUGGAACCAUGAUGGUGCCAGGAGAGGACCGAGUCCCGCAGGUUAUCCUCUGACCUCCACAUGUGCUCUUACCAGCAAACACAUGUGAUAUGUUUU